rnacentral:tRNA from 1 species
GCCGGAGUGGCGGAAUUGGUAGACGCAAGGGACUUAAAAUCCCUCGGGACAACCUCCUGUACCGGUUCGAGCCCGGUCUCCGGCACCA